rnacentral:rRNA from 2 species
UCGUCACACUAUCAUUAACUGAAUCCAUAGGUUAAUGAGGCGAACCGGGGGAACUGAAACAUCUAAGUACCCCGAGGAAAAGAAAUCAACCGAGAUUCCCCCAGUAGCGGCGAGCGAACGGGGAGGAGCCCAGAGCCUGAAUCAGCAUGUGUGUUAGUGGAAGCGUCUGGAAAGGCGCGCGAUACAGGGUGACAGCCCCGUACACAAAAGCGCAUGUGCUGUGAGCUCGAUGAGUAGGGCGGGACACGUGGUAUCCUGUCUGAAUAUGGGGGGACCAUCCUCCAAGGCUAAAUACUCCUGACUGACCGAUAGUGAACCAGUACCGUGAGGGAAAGGCGAAAAGAACCCCGG